UACGUAGGGGGCAAGCGUUGUCCGGAAUCAUUGGGCGUAAAGCGCGUGUAGGCGGUCCGGUAAGUCCGCUGUGAAAGUCGGGGGCUCAACCCUGGGAUGCCGGUGGAUACUGUCGAGCUCGAGUCCGGAAGAGGCGAGUGGAAUUCCUGGUGUAGCGGUGAAAUGCGCAGAUAUCAGGAGGAACACCAAUGGCGAAGGCAGCUCGCUGGGACGUGACUGACGCUGAGACGCGAAAGCGUGGGGAGCAAACAGG
rnacentral:rRNA from 1 species